rnacentral:rRNA from 1 species
AUUGAACGCUGGCGGCAUGCUUUACACAUGCAAGUCGAGCGGCAGCGCGGGGGCAACCCUGGCGGCGAGCGGCGAACGGGUGAGUAAUGCAUCGGAACGUAUCCUCGAGUGGGGGAUAACCCAGCGAAAGUUGGGCUAAUACCGCAUGAGCUCUGAGGAGGAAAGCGGGGGACCUGCGAGGGCCUCGCGCUGGAGGAGCGGCCGAUGUCCGAUUAGCUAGUUGGUGGGGUAAAGGCUUACCCAGGCGACGAUCGGUAGCUGGUCUGAGAGGAUGAUCAGCCACACUGGGACUGAGACACGGCCCAGACUCCUACGGGAGGCAGCAGUGGGGAAUUUUGGACAAUGGGGGCAACCCUGAUCCAGCCAUGCCGCGUGAGUGAAGAAGGCCUUCGGGUUGUAAAGCUCUUUCGGACGGAACGAAAUGGGCGGGACUAAUACUCCUGUCUGAUGACGGUACCGUAAGAAGAAGCACCGGCUAACUACGUG